rnacentral:misc_RNA from 1 species
AUAUAUGGUAAUAACUCGUCACCAUGUAAUAUGAUCACAUCAGAUAGCAAUUGUGCAAAAUUUAGUAAAAUGCAGGUUUCUACAGUGCAUAUGCUAUUAGCAAAGAAACAACACAGCCUGAAUUGGUCUACCCUGAAAGCACAUAGGAGAUGGAACUAGCACCCCUCCACCAUCCCACCGCUAAAAAGACAAAGAUGAAAGCACAAGUAUGCCAAAACUUUUCAGCUGUAUCCCACUUGCUGCUGCUGCUGCUGCUGCUGCUGCU